rnacentral:rRNA from 1 species
CCUACGAGCGGCAGCAGUGAGGAAUAUUGGUCAAUGGCCGAGAGGCUGAACCAGCCAAGUCGCGUGAAGGAAAAAGGCCCUACGGGUUGUAAACCUCUUUUGUCGGGGAGCAAAGAGAGUACCGUGUGACUCAUUAAGAGUACCCGAAGAAAAAGCAUCGGCUAACUCCGUGCCAGCAGCCGCGGUAAUACGGAGGAAGCGAGCGUUAUCCGGAUUGAUUGGGUUGAAAGGGUGCGCAGGCGGAGGUGCAAGUCAGCGGUCAAAUUGCGGGGCUCAACCCCGUACUGCCGUUGAAACUGCAUCCCUUGAGUGCGCGAGAAGUAUGCGGAAUGCGUGGUGUAGCGGUGAAAUGCAUAGAUAUCACGCAGAACUCCGAUUGCGAAGGCAGCAUACCGGCGCGCAACUGACGCUCAUGCACGAAAGCGUGGGUAUCGAACAGGAUUAGAUACCCCAGUAGUC